CAAGAAAGAUGGAAGUUCUGGGAAGAAAACUUCCAGAACUUUCAGAAUAUUUUUCAUUAGUACAAAAUUGUGAUUGGGUCCUUCGCAGUAUAUUGGCGUGUCGGUAGCCGGGAAUUUUGUGGAUAAUCUGAUUGAACGAAUAUCAAAGACUCUGGAUGGAGGAAGAAUGAUUCAGAAGUUCCCGGGGAAUAGCAAAAUUGAAGUCAAUUCAGAAAGGCGUUCCACCAACCUGAGCUCUUUUCAUACGACACUGGCAGGGCUUAUUGUUGCCUUGAGACAAUUUUCAUCAUGACUGCUGCUCUCACUAAUGGUAUAUAUGUGACUGGACGAUCUAAAAAAUUUGAUGCACUGACGGGGACCUGUGAAUUCCUGCUAAUCACGAUACUUUGAAAUAUGUAAAAGAAAACCAUAAUAAAGCGUGGGUUAGGACUUCAAUAUCUUUAUGCAUAUACAGUGCUAGGCCAAAAA